CUCUCACGGCGUGGCUUCGUUCUCUUCGUUGUCGAGCGGCGUAGUGGGUGCCACCACUUUUCGAGGACGACUACGAAACGAGCUGCUACGUAUCUAGCGCGAAGGCGAAGGAGAGGAAAGAGGAGGCUUCGAUCGGUAGACGUGCCUUCCUCUGAUCAUCCUCAACCAGUCUCACGCGUUGUAGAAAAUAUGGCGGGAACGGAGACGCCAAACGUAAAGUCCGACAUAACGAACCCAUCCUCUGAGACAAACGAAAAUAAUGCAAGAGAAAGGAGCGUUCAAGGCGGAGGUGGAGGUGGCGGUGGAGGUGGUGGAGGAGGAGGAGGUGGCGGCGGCGGCGGCGGCGGCGGAAGUAACCGUGGACCUCGUGGUAGAAAAGGAGGUACAAGAUUUUCCGGCGGACGUGGCGGUGGAAUGAUGGGUGGAAGAAACGAUGGACCGAUGAAAAUGAGUGAUUCCAUGAUAGAUGGUGGCUUAGAUAAUACAAUGUCGGAAGGAAUGGGAGGUAUGGGAGGAAUGGGUGGUAUGGGUGGUAUGGGAGCUCGUGGAGGCGGUAUGCGUGGUGGUAGAGGCGGCAGAGGUGGAGACCGAAAUAUGGGAAAUCGUUCUCAAGAUGAUCGAUUAAUGGAACGGAUAAUGGCUAUAAGUGGCCCUACACAUGAGUUGCCACCUCAAGAAACUGCAGAAAAGAAAUUCAGUGGUCGUAAUCGCCUAUAUAUUGGUAAUCUUACAAAUGAUGUUACCGAAGAAGAAAUCCAGGCGAUGUUCGCACAGUAUGGUGAAAUAUCCGAACUAUUUGUGAACAAGGAAAAGAAUUUUGCAUUUCUUAGAAUGGAUUAUCGAGUAAAUGCAGAAAAAGCAAAACAUGAGUUAGAUGGAACUAUGCGUAAAGGUCGUGCUCUUAAAGUACGAUUCGCUCCUCAUUCUUCUACGAUAAAAAUAAAGAAUCUCACUCCAUGGAUUUCGAAUGAAUUGUUAGAGAGGGCAUUCAGUGUAUUUGGAGAAAUUGAACGUGCAAUCGUUAUUGUUGACGACAGAGGGAAGUCUACGGGCGAAGGUAUCGUUGAAUACUGCAGAAAACCAUCAGCGCAACUUGCUUUGAGAAAAUGUACGGAAGGGUGUUAUUUCCUUACUGCAUCUCUUCGGCCUGUAGUUGUCGAACCUUUUGAACAACAAGACGAUAUCGAUGGUUAUCCUGAUAAAAAUUUACCACGUAAGAAUCCCGAAUUUUUCAAGGCUCGUGAAAUUGGACCAAGAUUCGCGCAAAUAGGUAGUUUUGAACACGAAUAUGGAACAAGGUGGAAACAGUUACAUGAAUUAUAUAAGCAAAAAGAAGAAGCAUUAAAACGAGAAAUGGCAAUGGAAGAAGAAAAAUUAGAAGCUCAAAUGGAAUUUGCAAGAUACGAGCAUGAAACUGAAUUACUUAGAGAACAAUUACGUAUGCGUGAAGCUGAUAGAGAAAGACAGAAGAGAGAAUGGGAAAUGAAGGAACGACAAGCGGAAGAACAGAGAACACGAGAAGAAGAAUUAAGGAGACGUCAACAAGAAGAAAUGGCGAUCCGUAUAAGACGGCAAGAAGAAGAACUACACAGGCGACAACAAGAAAAUAAUUUGUUCAUGCAGGGCUCUGCUCCUUUUAUUUUUAAGGAGCAAGCGAUGAGAGGUGGUGGUGCAGGCGGCGGUGGUGGUGGUGGUCUCGGAGGCGGAAAGAAUUAUGAUUCCGUUAGUAAUAGUGAUCGCGACGGUUAUGGCCAACCGGACGGUGGAAGCAGUAUGCCAGUGAUUAUAGCAGCUGCUGGUUGAAGAAACAAUUUGAUUAUCGUUAUCGAGUUAUACUUACUGGAAUGAAGAAAUAUGUGAUCGGGAAAGCACAUGAUAAUGGAACAUGUCCAGGAUAGGGAAAUUAAGGAUUUUUAAAAAAAUGGGAAAAUGCUAUCGAGUCCGUAUUCUAUAACCAGAAAAGAGUAUAAUACUGCGCAUGGAAAUAUUUUAUGGAAAUAAAGAUUUCACAUUGAAUUACAAAUUGUUGGAAGGAAGAAUUUUCGUGGAUGAUGGCGAUAAUGAUACAGUGUUUCAGAUUAUGGCCAAAAUCUAUCCGUAAAUGUAUGUUUAAUGAAAUUAUUACAAGUAUGUUUGCUAUAGUUCGAUAUAAAUUGUUACGUAUCUAUAGUAGACCACAAAUUCGUAACUUAUAACCGCGCUAUUGGCGAUCGAGAAUGCCAACGAAGCUUCGCAAGCACGGUUGGAAUUUUGCCUGGAAUCUGGAAUGUAACGUCGUAUGUUCUCCUCCAUUGUCAUGGAAGAUAAUAUUAACUGAUGAACUAUUGGCUAGAGUCCUGAUAUUAAAGAUGACAAAUCACGUUCAAAAACUGAUACCUAAAAGACAAAAGUCUACGAAUCUUCGUAUCUGAUUAUUUUACAUUAAAAAAUAUAUUAUUCUAUUGUUUGUUAUAGAAUGAAAAUAACUGAAUCUACAUAACGAAGAAAUAUAUGAGCUAAAUAAAUAAAUCGGUGGCCAUUAAUAACAACGUUUAGUUAGAAGAGGAUUCAAUUAUAAUUAUUAAUUAGUAAGAAACUUUCAAUGAAAAUUAUUUGUAACAAAUAAUUAUGAACUACCUAACACAUUUUACUACCUUUAUAAAUGAUCCUUUUUUCGAAGUAUUUACGAAUAUUAUUAGUUCUUGAGAUAUAUUACUCUAUGAAUAAAAGGAAUGUUUCUUCUUUAUUUUGUGUGGCACACUGAUCUAUAUAAUUUUUUGAAAAAGGGUGAAGACGUUUACCUAUAUGAAUUAUUUUUAGAAUAUAUUUGUCAUCUAUUUGCUACUAUGCUAACUUUAUAUAUAUCUCCAAUUGAAAAUAGACUCGAAGUAAAAAUUGUUUUAAAGGAGAUAGAAUGCACUUUCCUUUCAACCCCUUUGCUCUAUAAUAUCGUGUAAGAGUUAUGCAUAUGCUUUUUGCAAGUCUUAUAAAUAUAAGAAACACGAGUUUAGACUCAUAGUACGUAUAUUAUAGAACUACACAAGUAAUAUAUAGGAUAUAAGAAGUAUUUAAAGGUAAAUCGAGAGUCAUGUUUGUCGUUAAUCGUCGUCAGACAUUGUCAAGGAUCAGAAAAACACGAGUGAGUCCGUGAUUGAAUUUUUACAGAUGCAUUAGAAAUUUUGUUUGCUGACUGAUUUUAGCAUGUGCCGUCACGACAUAAAUCAUACUACAAGGAUUAAUAUACAAUUUAUCAAAAUGGCUGUGAUGUAAAUUUAAAAUUAGAAUUAAUGGCCACCGAUGUACAUGAUUGUGAGAAAUAAAUGAAAUUUUUUUGAUUUUUAAUAUAUAUGUGUAUAUAUACAUAUACACACACACAUACACCUCUUUGUACUUCAUUUGUAUUUCAAUAAUGGGGAAAUAAAAGGAGCAGGGAGGGGUUGAAAAAGGGAGUGUCUUGUCUCAUGAUUUGAGCAAUCAUAGUAAAAUGUGUGUGUCGUGAAAAAAGCUUCGACAACAUUUUUAUUGUUAACCGCAGAAAAAGCCAUAUACACUUUCACACGAAAUCGAUCAUAGUUUAUAAUAAUAUCGAAAAAUUUACGGUAAUUAAACAUUGUUGUACAUAAAUAUAAAGAUGACAUUGCACGUUC